CAAAACCGUAUGUUGAGGAAUCUUCCUAGGUCCUGCAGUGGUGCAAUCAUAAUCGAGGAUGUUGCUCAAUUACCUUGGCCAUAAAUCACAAUUCUGACUUAUGCUCAAAUUUGUUCUGCCUCCUUACAGAUUCUCAAAUCCUCGUUUCAUUGUCGUGAUUGCUACCGCGGCAACUGGGAACAACCGCCGGCUGCCAGAUCUCCGGUCACUGGCGAACGGCGCAUCCCCCAGUUUAGCACAUCGAUUUGGGUUCCGGUAAAGAAGAACAGGCUAUUGACUGAGCUUUUAGAAAAAUAAUAAAACAAACAGCAGAGGAGGAGAGAUAGGGGAAGAUGCAGCAGAGAAAUUCGACAAUCGGAAGGCCUUCUGGGACAGAUGGCUCAGAUUACUCAUACCGCAUGGUUGUUGAUUCACGGUAUCAGCUGGUAGCAAGGGGGAAGAAACGCCUUUCUGUACUUCUACCUCUUCAGGCUUUGUUUCUAUA